CUACGGGGGGCUGCAGUGAGGAAUUUUGCGCAAUGGGGGAAACCCUGACGCAGCAACGCCGCGUGAGCGAAGAAGGCCCUCGGGUCGUAAAGCUCUGUCAAGUGGGAAAAAAAUUUUUUGAUCAAUAGUCAAAAGACUUGAUGGUACCACUGGAGGAAGCACCGGCUAAUUCCGUGCCAGCAGCCGCGGUAAUACGGAGGGUGCGAGCGGUGUUCGGAUUUACUGGGCGUAAAGAGCGUGUAGGCGGUUUAGCAAGUCAGAUGUGAAAGCCCUGGGCUCAACCCGGGAAGUGCAUUUGAAACUGCUUUACUAGAGUAUGGGAGAGGAGAUUGGAAUUCCUGGUGUAGAGGUGAAAUUCGUAGAUAUCAGGAGGAACACCCGUGGCGAAGGCGAUUCUCUGGACCAAUACUGACGCUGAGACGCGAAAGCGUGGGGAGCAAACAGGAUUAGAUACCCGCGUAGUC
rnacentral:rRNA from 1 species